rnacentral:rRNA from 1 species
CCGGCGAAAGCCGGCUCCCGCAAGGGGACUCGUAGAGGUGCUGCAUGGCUGUCGUCAGCUCGUGUCGUGAGAUGUUGGGUUAAGUCCCGCAACGAGCGCAACCCUUGUCUCUGUUGCCAUCAGGUUAUGCUGGGCACUCUGAGGAGACUGCCGGUGAUAAACCGGAGGAAGGUGGGGAUGACGUCAAGUCAGCAUGGCCUUUAUGUCUGGGGCUACACACGUGCUACAAUGGCCGGUACAAACCGUCGCGAUACCGUAAGGUGGAGCUAAUCGGAGAAAGCCGGUCUCAGUUCGGAUUGCAGGCUGCAACUCGCCUGCAUGAAGUUGGAAUCGCUAGUAAUCGCGGAUCAGCACGCCGCGGUGAAUACGUUCCCGGGCCUUGUACACACCGCCCGUCACAUCACGAAAGCUGGCUGUACUAGAAGUCGCCGAGCUAACCCGCAAGGGAGGCAAGCGCCUAAGGUAUGGUUAGUGAUUGGGGUGAAGUCGUAACAAGGUAAGCGUAGUGCU